CUUGCCCUCCUGCAGUAUGAAGUUGGAAAAUGUUGACUGACUGAGCCAACAUGGAAAAAGAUGUUCCCAUGAGAAACCAGGGAGGAGGAUGGGAAGGCUCCAUCUUUUAACAAAGAGAUCCACUCCCUUUCUCUCACGGUUAGGAAGACAUGAAUCCAAGAAACUUCUAUGGAGGAGUUGGAUUUCCAAGUGCCCAGGAUUUGCAGGCCUGCUCACUCCUUAAAGCUGAGAACUGCAUCCACCCUCUUCUACUUCUGAAGACUCAAGCUGGCACAGGGACAGGGGACUAUACUCAAGGCUCUGACCCAGCCCCAUGAGGCUCAGCAUCAAGUCUGCUUAGCUGCUACCCAGAUGUAAGUCUGAGCUCAUAUCCUCUAACUUUCAGUGCCUCCACUUCCUCAUUUGUAGAAUGACGACAUUAAGUGCCUGCCCGAUGGUUGUGUUGUGAAGGUGAAAUGAAAUAAUGCCUGCAACAGGCUCAGAAGAGAACCUGGUACACAGUAAGCACUCAGUAAUUAUUAGCCAUUAUUAAGUUCUAAGAAAGGAUCAUAAUCUUCUUUCCAUCUCUCUGGGUACUUUGUCCCAGGAAACUGCUGGGGAUAUAUAGUUCCUUCCAGAAUUUUUAAUCCAUCUCUAAAGGACAUGAUCCUAUUACCAGCUGGAGAGAUCUUUGCUAACUGCUAGCAUACUUCCUUCAUGCCCCCUGUACCAAGGCUUCCCAUCACUGGGUUUUCUUCUUGGAGCCCCCACCCCUACUCCUGCCCUGGUGUUUCUUUGUGGACCUCAAUGAUUGCCUGUGUAAGACCUGAAGGUCUUUGAUUUGUGCAAGGCCAUGCUUUUCAUGGCAAAGGGUAUUUUCUCUUGGUAUCCAAAGCUAGAUGGGUGCCCUGGUGUAGAGAUUAAGGACUUUGGCUCCAGAGCCACAAAACUGAGUUCUGCCUUUUCCUACUUAUGAGAUUCUGGAUGGUUUUGUUUUUCUUUUCUUUUCUUUUUUUAGGUACCAGGGAUUGAACCCAAGACUUCACAUGUAAGAUGCUGGCACUCCAUCACUGAGUCACAUUGGCACCCCUG
rnacentral:lncRNA from 1 species